GCGCUAUCUGCCGGGGUUACCCCGUCCCUUAGGAUCGGCUUACCCAUGUGCAAGUCGAGGGGUAUAUUUCUUCGGAUUUAGAGACCGGCGCACGGGUGCGUAACGCGUAUGCAAUCUACCUUUUACAGAGGGAUAGCCCAGAGAAAUUUGGAUUAAUACCUCAUAGUAUAUAGACUCGGCAUCGAGAUUAUAUUAAAGUCACAACGGUAAAAGAUGAGCAUGCGUCCCAUUAGCUAGUUGGUAAGGUAACGGCUUACCAAGGCUACGAUGGGUAGGGGUCCUGAGAGGGAGAUCCCCCACACUGGUACUGAGACACGGACCAGACUCCUACGGGAGGCAGCAGUGAGGAAUAUUGGACAAUGGGCGCAAGCCUGAUCCAGCCAUGCCGCGUGCAGGAUGACGGUCCUAUGGAUUGUAAACUGCUUUUAUACGAGAAGAAACACUGAUUCGUGAAUCAGCUUGACGGUAUCGUAAGAAUAAGGAUCGGCUAACUCCGUGCCAGCAGCCGCGGUAAUACGGAGGAUCCAAGCGUUAUCCGGAAUCAUUGGGUUUAAAGGGUCCGUAGGCGGUUUGGUAAGUCAGUGGUGAAAGCCCAUCGCUCAACGGUGGAACGGCCAUUGAUACUGCCAGACUUGAAUUAUUAGGAAGUAACUAGAAUAUGUAGUGUAGCGGUGAAAUGCUUAGAGAUUACAUGGAAUACCAAUUGCGAAGGCAGGUUACUACUAAUGGAUUGACGCUGAUGGACGAAAGCGUGGGUAGCGAACAGGAUUAGAUACCCUGGUAGUCCACGCCGUAAACGAUGGAUACUAGCUGUUGGAAGCAAUUUCAGUGGCUAAGCGAAAGUGAUAAGUAUCCCACCUGGGGAGUACGUUCGCAAGAAUGAAACUCAAAGGAAUUGACGGGGGCCCGCACAAGCGGU
rnacentral:rRNA from 1 species